rnacentral:rRNA from 1 species
UAGGAGGCGGGAGAGGCGGACGGUACUCCACGUGUAGGGGUAAAAUCCUUUGAUCCGUGGAAGACCACCAGUGGCGAAGGCGGUCCACCAGAACGCGCUCGACGGUGAGGGAUGAAAGCUGGGGGAGCGAACCGGAUUAGAUACCCGGGUAGUCCCAGCCGUAAACGAUG